rnacentral:rRNA from 1 species
UUGAACGCUGGCGGCAUGCUUUACACAUGCAAGUCGAACGGUAACAGGCCGCAAGGUGCUGACGAGUGGCGACCGGGUGAGUAAUGCAUCGGAACGUGCCCAGUCGUGGGGGAUAACUACUCGACAGAGUAGCUAAUACCGCAUACGAUCUAUGGAUGAAAGCGGGGGACCGUAAGGCCUCGCGCGAUUGGAGCGGCCGAUGUCAGAUUAGGUAGUUGGUGGGGUAAAGGCUCACCAAGCCAACGAUCUGUAGCUGGUCUGAGAGGACGACCAGCCACACUGGGACUGAGACACGGCCCAGACUCCUACGGGAGGCAGCAGUGGGGAAUUUUGGACAAUGGGCGCAAGCCUGAUCCAGCAAUGCCGCGUGCAGGAAGAAGGCCUUCGGGUUGUAAACUGCUUUUGUACGGAACGAAACGGCUCUGGUUAAUACCCGGGGCUAAUGACGGUACCGUAAGAAUAAGCACCGGCUAACUACGUG